AUUGAACGCUGGCGGCACGCCUAACACAUGCAAGUCGAGCGGCAGCGAGACUAGUAGCAAUACUAGUUGUCGGCGAGCGGCGGACGGGUGAGUAACACGUAGGAAUCUGCCCUUAAGCGGGGGAUAACCAAGGGAAACUUUGGCUAAUACCGCAUAAUCUCGAGAGAGCAAAGCUGCCCGCAAGGGUGGCACUUGAGGAGGAGCCUGCGUCCGAUUAGCUAGUUGGUGGGGUAAUGGCCUACCAAGGCGAUGAUCGGUAACUGGUCUGAGAGGACGACCAGUCACACUGGGACUGAGACACGGCCCAGACUCCUACGGGAGGUAGCAGUGGGGAAUAUUGGACAAUGGGGGCAACCCUGAUCCAGCGAUGCCGCGUGAGUGAAGAAGGCCUUCGGGUCGUAAAGCUCUUUAGGUUGGUAAGAAGGGUAUUGGCUGAAUAAUCCAGUACUUUGACGGUACCGACAGAAUAAGCACCGGCAAACUCUGUGCCAGCCGCCGCGGUAAAAC
rnacentral:rRNA from 1 species